CAUCACCAGCUUUGAAUGAAAUGACUACUUUGAAGACAAGGGUGCCUACCCAUCAUUGACUGCCUGAUGCUUAGUUUCCAUGGAGAUUUUCAGAGCUACCUGACACAGGUUUCAAUUGUCACUGCCUCAGACUUUUUCUUGGGAAAAACAUCCAUGACUUUUGAAGAGAGCUUCUGCUACACUCUGCAAGCCUGCUCCCUGACUCCAAGCAUCUGGCAGAGCUACUCGGAAGAAGGCAAGUCACCAAGCCAGAACAUUGUGAGUGGCAGCUGUUCACAGCAAGAUGACUCCACAUGGAAAGAUUGCCCACAGCAAAGCCAGUAUUACUUUAUUCCAAGGAGUUUUCUUAGGAUUUCACUUCAGCCAGCAUCCUGGUUUUUUGCCUCUUUGGUGAAUCAAAGGAGCUGAUAAAAUUUGUUUGUAACUCUUCAGAAAUUUUGGUCCAGCUGUAUCUUCCCCAGCCACUGUACCUAACACUUCACCUUCCAUUUUGUUUAGGGCUCUUUUGAACACUUUAGGGUCCUUUGGAACCAUUCCUGGUGACUUUUCUUGGUGAUUGGCUUUGUCUUUCCCGGUUCUUCUGAGCUAUUUCAGUUUUGUAGAAGUAUUUUUUGAACUAUUAUGCCAUUUGUACGGUGGGUCUUAGACUAUUUGAGUAUCUGGCCUAUGAUAGGGAAGGCUUCUUAGGUUUUACUGAGCCAGUACAGCUCUGUAGAAUCGUAUGAGAUAGGGAGGCAGGGGUAUCAAGGAGAUCACGGGUGUGAGUAACAUGACCAUAAAAUACAGGAAGUCUAUCCUAUGGUUUUUACGAUGGCAUCUAAAGCUACUUGGUGCAAUCAGUGUAUGGCUGACCUUCCUAAAAACAAGUAACAAACUCCAGCCACUUGGCAUGCCUUUAUCAAAAGAUCUUGUUUAUAGAUACAUACACACAUUUGUGUGCAUCUCUUAGAGACAUUUUUUUAGGCUAUAUUAAUCCUCAGAGUUAUAUUUUUUUCUCUCUUCCUUCAAAAAAGUGGUUAGCGAAGAUGCAAGAACUUAGCAAAUUUGAAACAAACAAACAAAGGCCCAAUUUUACUGGAUUUCCUUCAGGGACUCUCUAUAAAGGUUAAUUAAUGGAUAUGUUAAUUUUGAGCUUGCUAUGCCCUACUCAGAGUUACUCCGUAUUUUAUAAUACUUCUUGGGCUUUUUGUUGUUUGUUUAUUUUUCGAGACAGGGUUUCUCCCACUUUGUAGACCAGGCUGGCCUGGAACUCACUGAGAUCUGCCUGCCUAUGUCU